AUCCCCUAUCUACUGGGCAAGGCCGUGUCUGUCAAUGGCAUGGAGUCCUAUAUCAGUUAGGGGAAGAGUAAACGAGCUCCAUGUUCAUCCCAGUCACCUCUGUCUGUGAGCAGUGUUCUGGUUCAUGCUAUGGGCACAAGA